GGCGGCGUGCCUAACACAUGCAAGUCGUACGAGAAAGUUGGCUUCGGCCAAUGAGUAAAGUGGCGCACGGGUGAGUAACGCGUGGAUAAUCUGCCCUUCAGCGGGGAAUAACCCAUCGAAAGGUGGGCUAAUACCCCAUAACACUGUUUCACAACUGUUAAGCAGUCAAAGAGAGCCUCUGCUUGCAAGCUUUUACUGAAGGUUGAGUCCGCGUACCAUUAGCUAGUUGGUAGGGUAAUGGCCUACCAAGGCGACGAUGGUUAGCUGGUCUGAGAGGAUGAUCAGCCACACUGGAACUGAGACACGGUCCAGACUCCUACGGGAGGCAGCAGUGAGGAAUCUUGCGCAAUGGGGGAAACCCUGACGCAGCAACGCCGCGUGAGUGAGGAAGGUCUUCGGGUCGUAAAGCUCUGUCAGGCGGGAAGAAAUGCAUGGAGGUGAACAGCCGCCAUGCUUGACGGUACCGCCAGAGGAAGCACCGGCUAACUCCGUG
rnacentral:rRNA from 1 species